UAUGAUCACUUCGUCAUGUGACCGUAACAAGUAAACAUGGCGGAUGUAGAAGCUACGAGAUCUUUGAGCGGUCUGUUGAAUGGAAUCGCUCAAAAAGUCUAUUAUAACAACAGUGAGAUCACAGAGGAGCUGCUGAAAAAUGAAUUAUUUCCCGAGAUGUCUCAGGAGGAGUUCAAGGCUUUGCAUGAGAAAAUGAAGGGCCUCUUAAAGUUGCCUUCUUGAAAGAUUCUUCAAUAUUUGGACACCAUGUCUAGUUUUGUAUUUGUGCUACUAUGACUUGAACUGCAGCUUUGUGUUGCACCUCAGCUGUACAACUGAACAACAUUGUUGACCAACUCUUGAACAGGUACACGCCAAGUUACGAAGGAUACACCCCCAUGUUCAGUCUGGCUGCAAGCGUCCCGUACAACAGUGAAAGCGAGAAGUAUGACGUCAGUCGGAUCCGUGACGACAGCGCCACGGUGAGGAACGAGAUUCAGAACUGUGACGUGUACACAGGCACCAACGUGGUGGCGGCCAUAGUCCUGAGGUGGCCCGAUGUUCAGGAACGGUGUCCCAACGGAAAUGUACCUUGGGGUUUUGUUCUGAGAGAUUCUGGUAAAACGUCUAUGAAAUGGUCUGAGGUUCCGAUGGAUGUGAUUAAAGAAGGUAGAGCUGAUCAUGCAGAGUACCGUGUUGUAAACAACCUGUUCACACGUCCUAAUGACAAUGAUCUGUUGCUGUUCUAUGUUCGUGCCUCCCCAUGUGUUGAAAAGUGCACAAACGAAGGACAUGUUCACAACAUCCUCGAAAAGAUCAGGGAGAUUAAGCAAUGGAAGAAUUAUGCUUUUGUGUUUUCUAAAAUAUUCAAACCCAGUAACCAUCCACCCAAUUCUGAGGCAGAGCUUAGGGACGCCCUUGAGAGACUCGGGGAGUCAAUCGGUCUUGAAAAUAUAUUCCGUUGUGACAGAGGAAACAAUGGGAUGCGGUGCACCAGCUGCUCUGAUAAUGGUCAAGUUGCACAAUAUUGUGUUUCAGAUGAUGCAAAUGGCCAGUUGAGGGGGAGGAAAGAAUCGAGGACUGGGGAGGAGGAAAGGUGGGAAAGGGAGAGGAAAGGA